UUGGGCUGAGGAAAGUAGCUGAGUACUGCCUGAGGCCCGGCAGUAAGCUGAGGGUUGCCCAGGAAACAGAAGUCUGAGAAGCUGUAACUGGCUGAAAGCUGUUGCUGAAGGGAGCCCAGUAGUGCCUGGAGGCUGCCCUGAAGCCAAGAUCAGCUACCCAUUGUGUACAUAUGCACAGUAAGAGUAAAGGAUAAGUGAACCAAAUGCACGAGGGGUACUAUACCACUGAAGUUAUUGAAGCAGCAUUGAAUUUGACUCAUUAAGUUAACCCUCAGAAUGAACAUCUCUGUGAUAUGGCUGCAUCAAAUUCCAUGAUCAUGAUGGACAAUUAACAUGUGCAAUUGGUGAAUCAUGACGGAACAUUCCUAUAGAUAAAUACAAGAUGAAAUUACCUUUGGAUAUUUUAGAAUCAUGGAGACAAUUUCCUUCUUUGUACUCCCCCAUCUUAUUCUAGCCAUUUAAAAUCUCUUCCACAACAUUUCAUAUCAAGCCAAGUUUAAAAAUAAAACAACCACAAAGAAAAAAAAAAAACCCACUUCAGCUGUAGAAAAAUGGGAUCCAAGAUUUUGAAAAAUGGACAUCUGCACAUAGGUUUCACCUAAUAAGUGGCCUGAUUUUCAAAAGACAAUGGGAAGAAAAUCAGGCCAUUUUAUUUCGAUGUGAAAUAUAAACUAAGAUGCCAAAAAGCUUACUCUCUUUUUGAAAAUCUUGACUCUAAUAUUUAUUAACAAAAAAAGGCCUACAUUUUGGGACAGUAAAGUUUGCAGCAGAACACACCCCAUCCAGACAAAAUCUUAAAAAGCAUGAAAAUAAGAAAUUAAGGUGAUAGACUGUGCAUUCCUUCCCACUUUCAUAUUGCCUGGAACAUACUCUGACACAGUCAGACAUAUAUAUUUCAGACUUUGUCUCCAACAGAUACCAAAAACAAUGCAUACCCCAGCUUUGUCCAAGUGGUACUUGAAGGCAAAACUUGAACAGUGAGUUCAUAUGCUUUUAUACCUGUUCUUUGAACAGAUCAGCCCAUCUCAAAGUUCCACAUUCCAUGCAGUUGGGAAGUUUUUCUGCUUUAAGAUGGGUGAGGCCACUGGUAAGAUUGUCCUUCAUUGUCAUACAUUAUCAUCAAAC